rnacentral:lncRNA from 1 species
UCCACUUUUUAUAAAACUGGAAUAAAACGGGAAAGUGCCAUCUUUAUUAAUCCUAAUUGAAUUUUAAAUGUCCUUUUGACACAAAAAGGUAUAUACAUGACACAGCUACACAACCUUUUUUCAACUGGACAACAAGUGUCAAAACCCUGUGGAUGUAUAGGGUAAAACAAGAUUGGUCAGGAAAAGAGAAUUGUUCCUAUAACUGGUAAUCUGACACAAUGUCCUAUUGCCAUUAAAAAAAAAAAAAGGUCCAUUUUCAGUUUAUUCAAGUUUGUUUUCAUGGUGUUUUAUCCCUCUUGAUAAAAAAAAAUUCAGACUUUUGUAAUUUGUGUAUGCUGAUCUUCAUCAAAAGGUUCAUUCUCUGGAUCAGAGUCAGUGGUGUCAGAAUAUCUAUAAUGAUCAGGUUCAUUGUCACUAACAUCUGGUGUUACAGAAGUUGAACUGCUAGCCUCUGGAUUUGACGGCUCCUCUACUGUUUUUGUGAAGUACAGUUUCACCUAGAGAAAGAAAAUUUAAAAUGAAAACCCACAAAUAUGACUCAUCUUAAACUAUUUAGUGAAAUAUAUUUAAUACAGUGGUCUAUAA